rnacentral:snoRNA from 1 species
CUUCUGGUGAUGAGACCUUUGUCCAGUUCCGCUACUGAAUUUGAGCGAUGACAGUUUGGAGAUCUGAAGAGG